rnacentral:rRNA from 1 species
CAAUAGCGUAUAUUAAAGCUGUUGCGGUUAAAAAGCUCGUAGUUGGAUUUCUGUCAAGUACAACUGGUCCGCCCUCCGGGUGAGCACAUAGUUUGGUCUUGACAUCUUGCUGGAAGCUGUUGCUGCACUUGGCUGUGUGGCGCAGUGUUCAGCACUUUCACUUUGAGGAAAUUGGAGUGUUUCAAGCAGGCACAUGCCUUUGGACACAGUAGCAUGGAAUAAUUAGAUUGGGCUUUUGCUCCAAUUUGUCGGUUUCUGGAGCUGAGGUGAGUAUUAAUGGGGAUUGUUGGGGGCAUCCGAAUUUAGCCGUCAGAGGUGAAAUUCUUGGAUCUGCUAAAGACGGACAACUGCGAAAGCGUUUGCCCAGGAUGUUUUCAUUGA